rnacentral:rRNA from 1 species
CCCUUAGAUGUUCUGGGCAGCACGCGCGCUACAAUGGUCUUCGCAAACGGAGGCAUUCUCGAAGGAGAAUGCCAAUCUUGGAAUCUAUGCCUUGGUCGGGACAGUUGCUUGCAAUUUUUCGACUCGAACCAGGAAUUCCUUGUAAUCGUGAUUCAUCACAUCACGAUGAAUACGUCCCUGCCCUUUGUACACACCGCCCGUCGCUCCUACCGAUCGAAGAGUUAGGUGAAUUGUUUUGAUCGAUAAGAUUUGACUAUGGUCAACUCUCGUUGUGAAAUUCUGUGAAUCUGACUGUUUAGAGGAAGGAAAAGUCGUAACA